rnacentral:rRNA from 1 species
UACGUAGGUGACCAGCGUUGUCCGGAUUUACUGGGCGUAAAGAGCGCGCAGGCGGUCGUUCAAGUCGAGUGUGAAAGCCCCCGGCUCAACCGGGGAGGGUCAUUGGAAACUGGUUAACUUGAGUGCAGAAGAGAAGAGUGGAAUUCCACGUGUAGCGGUGAAAUGCGUAGAGAUGUGGAGGAACACCAGUGGCGAAGGCGACUCUUUGGUCUGUAACUGACGCUGAGGCGCGAAAGCGUGGGGAGCAAACAGG